GUCAUGGUGGCUGAGUGGGUAAGCACUGGGCUUCCAAACCGACGGGUCUUGGGUUCGAAUCUCGGCGAAGACU
rnacentral:tRNA from 1 species